rnacentral:tRNA from 1 species
GCCCAAGUGGUGAAAUUGGUAUACACGCUAUCUUGAGGGGGUAGUGACUUCGGUCGUGCCGGUUCGAGUCCGGCCUUGGGCACCA